rnacentral:sRNA from 1 species
UGAGUAUCUUCUAUGUACCAGGCACUAUGCGAGAUUUUAUAUUCCAGUAGGAUAUAAGCUAGGUGCUGGGGAUGUGACAGUGAAUAAAAUAGGACAAAAUCCCUGCCUUCCCAGAGCCUCAAUUUGGGGAAGGGUGGGGAGCAAAACAUAAACUAUGCUAAACAGUGAUAAGGACUUCUCCCCACUUCCUCUAACCUCUCUUUCCUCAGCCCAGAUACUUCACGCAUCUAUGUGGCCCUGGGAUAUGGUUUUUUCCUGGAGUUGACAUUGGCAGAAGCUCUCAAGUUCAUUGAUCGUAAGAGCUCUCUCCUCACAGAGCUCAGCAACAGCCUCACCAAGGACUCCAUGAAUAUCAAAGCCCAUAUCCACAUGUUGCUAGAGGGGCUUAGAGAACUACAAGGCCUGCAGAAUUUCCCAGAGAAGCCUCACCAUUGACUUCUUCCCCCCAUCCUCAGACAUUAAAGAGCCUGAAUGCC